rnacentral:rRNA from 1 species
UACGAAGGGGGCAAGCGUUGUUCGGAAUUACUGGGCGUAAAGGGCGCGUAGGCGGCCUGCUAAGUCGGACGUGAAAUCCCUCGGCUCAACCGGGGAACUGCGUCCGAUACUGGUGGGCUCGAAUCCGGGAGAGGGAUGUGGAAUUCCAGGUGUAGCGGUGAAAUGCGUAGAUAUCUGGAGGAACACCGGUGGCGAAGGCGGCAUCCUGGACCGGUAUUGACGCUGAUGCGCGAAAGCCAGGGGAGCAAACGGG